GUAUAUAUGUGUGUGUGGUGUGUGUGUGUGUGUGUGUGUGUGUGUGUAUAUAUAUACACACACACACACCACACACACUAUAUACACACACACACACACACAUAUAUAUAUAUAUAUAUAUAUGUGUGUGUGUGUGUGUGUGUGUGUAUAUAUAUACACACACACACAUACCACACACAUAUAUAUACACACACACAC